UACGUAGGGACCAAGCGUUGUUCGCAUUUACUGGGCGUAAAGGACGCGUAGGCGGCGUGUCAAGUCAAUUGUGAAAUCUCCGGGCUUAACUCGGAACGGUCAAUUGAUACUGAUGUGCUAGAGUGCAGAAGGGGCAAUCGGAAUUCUUGGUGUAGCGGUGAAAUGCGUAGAUAUCAAGAGGAACACCUGAGGUGAAGACGGGUUGCUGGGCUGACACUGACGCUGAGGCGCGAAAGCUAGGGUAGCAAACGGG
rnacentral:rRNA from 1 species